AAGAGGGAAACAACCCAGACCGCCAGCUAAGGUCCCUAAAAUUGGCUAAGUGGGAAACGAAGUGGGAAGGCUAAAACAGUCAGGAUGUUGGCUUAGAAGCAGCCAUCAUUUAAAGAAAGCGUAAUAGCUCACUGAUCGAGUCGUCCUGCGCGGAAGAUGUAACGGGGCUAAGCCAGUUACCGAAGCUGCGGAUGCAUCGCAAGAUGCGUGGUAGGAGAGCGUUCUGUAAGCCUGUGAAGGUGGGUUGUGAAGCCUGCUGGAGGUAUCAGAAGUGCGAAUGCUGACAUGAGUAGCGUUAAAGGGGGUGAAAAGCCCCCUCGCCGAAAGCGCAAGGUUUCCUACGCAACGUUCAUCGGCGUAGGGUGAGUCGGCCCCUAAGGCGAGGCAGAGAUGCGUAGCUGAUGGGAAACAGGUCAAUAUUCCUGUACCGAUCAAUAGUGCGAUGUGGGGACGGAGAAGGUUAGCUCAGCCGGGUGUUGGAUGUCCCGGUUCAAGCCUGUAGUCGUGCCUGGUAGGCAAAUCCGCCGGGCUUAGAUGAGGGGUGAUAACGAGGAGGCUUGCCUCCGAAGUGAGUGAUACCCUGCUUCCAGGAAAAGCCACUAAGCUUCAGCUAUUGACGACCGUACCGCAAACCGACACUGGUGCGCGAGAUGAGUAUUCUAAGGCGCUUGAGAGAACUCUGGAGAAGGAACUCGGCAAAUUGACACCGUAACUUCGGAAGAAGGUGUGCCUUUAGUAGGUGUAGUUGUACAAACGAAGCCCAAUGAGGCCGCAGAGAAUCGGUGGCUGCAACUGUUUAUUAAAAACACAGCACUCUGCAAAGACGAAAGUCGACGUAUAGGGUGUGACUCCUGCCCGGUGCUGGAAGAUUAAAUGAUGGGGUGCAAGCUCUUGACUGAAGUCCCAGUAAACGGCGGCCGUAACUAUAACGGUCCUAAGGUAGCGAAAUUCCUUGUCGGGUAAGUUCCGACCUGCACGAAUGGCGUAACGACUUCCCCGCUGUCUCCAACAUCGACUCAGCGAAAUUGAAUUGCCUGUCAAGAUGCAGGCUUCCCGCGGUUAGACGGAAAGACCCCGUGCACCUUUACUACAGCUUCGCACUGGCAUCAGGAUUGUGAUGUGCAGGAUAGGUGGUAGGCAUCGAAACCAGAACGCUAGUUCCGGUGGAGCCUCCCUUGAGAUACCACCCUUCGCACUCUUGAUGUCUAACCGCGGUCCGUUAUCCGGAUCCGGGACCCUGCGUGGCGGGUAGUUUGACUGGGGCGGUCGCCUCCUAAAGCGUAACGGAGGCGCGCGAAGGUUGGCUCAGAGCGGUCGGAAAUCGCUCGUUGAGUGCAAUGGCAGAAGCCAGCCUGACUGCGAGACUGACAAGUCGAGCAGAGACGAAAGUCGGCCAUAGUGAUCCGGUGGUCCCGAGUGGAAGGGCCAUCGCUCAACGGAUAAAAGGUACGCCG
rnacentral:rRNA from 15 species